GACGAACGCUGGCGGCGUGGAUUAGGCAUGCAAGUCGAACGGUAUCAUCCUUUCGGGGGGUGAGAGAGUGGCGAACUGGUGAGUAACACGUAGGUUAUCUACCCUCAAGACGGGGACAACCCAGGGAAACUUGGGCUAAUACCGGAUGUGAGCAACUUUUAGUUGUUUGAAAGGUGGCGUAAGCUGCCGUUUGGGGAUGAGCCUGCGCUCUAUUAGUUAGUUGGCGGGGUAAAGGCCCACCAAGGCGAUGAUAGAUAGGCGGCCUUAACGGGUGGUCGCCCACACUGGGAUUGAGAUACGGCCCAGACUCCUACGGGAGGCAGCAGUCGAGAAUAGUCUACAAUGGCCGAAAGGCUGAUAGUGCGACGCCGCGUGAACGAAGAAGCCCUUCGGGGUGUAAAGUUCUUUUACCAGGGAUGAUAAUGACAGUACCUGGAGAAUAAGCUCCGGCUAACUCCGUG
rnacentral:rRNA from 1 species